rnacentral:rRNA from 1 species
AUUGAACGCUGGCGGCAGGCCUAACACAUGCAAGUCGAAUGGUAACAGGAAACAGCUUGCUGUUUCGCUGACGAGUGGCGGACGGGUGAGUAAUGUCUGGGAAACUGCCUGAUGGAGGGGGAUAACUACUGGAAACGGUAGCUAAUACCGCAUAACGUCGCAAGACCAAAGAGGGGGACCUUCGGGCCUCUUGCCAUCAGAUGUGCCCAGAUGGGAUUAGCUAGUAGGUGGGGUAACGGCUCACCUAGGCGACGAUCCCUAGCUGGUCUGAGAGGAUGACCAGCCACACUGGAACUGAGACACGGUCCAGACUCCUACGGGAGGCAGCAGUGGGGAAUAUUGCACAAUGGGCGCAGGCCUGAUGCAGCCAUGCCGCGUGUAUGAAGAAGGCCUUCGGGUUGUAAAGUACUUUCAGCGGGGAGGAAGGGAGUAAAGUUAAUACCUUUGCUCAUUGACGUACCCGCAGAAG